rnacentral:rRNA from 1 species
CCUACGGGGGGCAGCAGUGGGGAAUAUUGCACAAUGGGGGAAACCCUGAUGCAGCGACGCCGCGUGAGUGAAGAAGUAUUUCGGUACGUAAAGCUAUAUCAGCAGGGAAGAAAAACCGGCCUUAGGGCCGCCAGACGGUACCUGACUAAGAAGCCCCGGCUAACUACGUGCCAGCAGCCGCGGUAAUACGUAGGGGGCAAGAGUUAUCCGGAUUUACGGGGUGUAAAGGGAGCGUAGACGGCAGCGCAAGUCUUGAGUGAAAUGCCGGGGCCCAACCCCGGAACUGCUUUGGAAACUGAGCAGCUGGAGUGCAGGAGAGGUAAGCGGAAUUGCUAGUUGAGCGGUGAAAUGCGUAGAUAUUAGUAGGAACACCAGUGGCGAAGGCGGCUUACUGGACUGUAACUGACGUUGAGGCUCGAAAGCGUGGGGAGCAAACAGGAUUAGAUACCCUGGUAGUC